AUAGUAAUGAGGUACCUUUGUCACCAUGCAGUUGAUAUGAUGAAGCCGGGCGCCACCGUGAUUCUGCACAAAGCAAAGAUUGACAUGUUUAAGGGAUCAAUGAGGCUAGCAGUUGACAAAUGAGGACGUGUUGAAGUGACCGAGGAUGCUAACUUUGUAGUUAAAGUGCAGAACAAUCUUUCGCUAGUUGAGUACGAAUUGGUUAAUGUGCUGGAAGAGUGAUAGGUUGUUGAGAGCAUUAUAAGUUGUCUCAAUAUUUCUUCUGAUCCCGCAACUUUUAUUCAGGGUGCAUUUCCAGAGAUCCUGGAGAAAACAAAAGAGGAUUUCUUCUCAAACACUGUUAGCAUACUUAGAGAAUGUGCAGACAUAAUUCAUGAGAGAAUCAAGGAUAUCCCCUGCAUUACUUGCCCACAAAAGCCGGAAGGAUCCAUGUUUGUAAUGGUCAAGCUGAACCUGUCUAUAUUGGAAGACAUUGAUGAUGAUGUAGAGUUCUGUAUGAAGCUGUCUAAAGAGGAAUCAGUGGUUUACCUUACAGGUGUAGCUGUGGGAAUGAAGAACUGGCUUUGAGUAACUUUUGCCAUUGAUCCACCUUCUCUCAAAGAUGGACUUGGAAGGAUCAAAGCCUUCUACCAGAGGCAUGCUAAGAAGGAAUAAAGACUUCAUCUGAGAUCAAUUCAAUGCUUGUUGAAUCUCAUGAUCUGUAAGGUGCCAAUAAACAUUAAGCUGUCUGUUAUUGUAUCCUCAAAAGUUGAGGGAACAAUUCUAUUAAAUGUGUCGACUUCUAGGAACUUAAGAUCUGUGCUACUAGCUUGGUGGCAAAUAUGGAUCAGCAGUGUAAUAACUACUGGGAAGAAUCUCAAA